UUUGUUCUUUUUAUUUUGACUUUUAUUUAAAUAUCCAACAGAGGUGCUGACAGUAAGUGGAUCUCGUCGCCUUUCGGGGGGCUGUGGCCAUGCUCCUCAAAGUGAAUUUGGAGGUUCUACACUC